UACGUAGGUGGCGAGCGUUGUCCGGAUUUACUGGGCGUAAAGAGCGCGCAGGCGGUCGUAUAAGUCGGAUGUGAAAGCCCCUGGCUCAACUUGGGAGAGUCAUUCGAUACUGUUCGACUCGAAGGCAGGAGAGGGAAGUGGAAUUCCGGGUGUAGUGGUGAAAUGCGUAGAUAUCCGGAGGAACACCAGUGGCGAAGGCGACUUUCUGGCCUGUUCUUGACGCUGAGGCGCGAAAGCUAGGGGAGCAAACGGG
rnacentral:rRNA from 1 species